GAUGUAGAACGCAGCGAAAUGCGAUAAGUAAUGUGAAUUGCAGAAUUCAGUGAAUCAUCGAAUCUUUGAACGCACAUUGCGCCCGCCAGUAUUCUGGCGGGCAUGCCUGUCUGAGCGUCAUUUCAACCCUCAUGCCCCUAGGGCGUGGUGUUGGGGAUCGGCCAAAGCCCGCGAGGGACGGCCGGCCCCUAAAUCUAGUGGCGGACCCGUCGUGGCCUCCUCUGCGAAGUAGUGAUAUUCCGCAUCGGAGAGCGACGAGCCCCUGCCGUUAAACCCCCAACUUUCCAAGGUUGACCUCAGAUCAGGUAGGAAUACCCGCUGAACUUAAGCAUAUCAAUAAGCGGAGGA
rnacentral:misc_RNA from 1 species